rnacentral:rRNA from 1 species
AACGAACGCUGGCGGCAUGCCUAACACAUGCAAGUCGAACGAGACCUUCGGGUCUAGUGGCGCACGGGUGCGUAACGCGUGGGAACCUGCCCUUAGGUUCGCAAUAACUCCCCGAAAGGGGUCCUAAUACCGGAUAAUGUCUUCGGACCAAAGAUUUAUCGCCUUUGGAUGGGCCCGCGUUGGAUUAGCUAGUUGGUAGGGUAAAAGCCUACCAAGGCGACGAUCCAUAGCUGGUCUGAGAGGAUGAUCAGCCACACUGGGGCUAAGACACGGCCCAGACUCCUACGGGAGGCAGCAGUGGGGAAUAUAGGACAAUGGGCGAAAGCCUGAUCCAGCAAUGCCGCGUGAGUGAUGAAGGCCUUAGGGUUGUAAAGCUCUUUUACACGGGAUGAUAAUGACGGUACCGGGAGAAUAAGCACCGGCUAACUCCGUG